UACGGAGGGUGCAAGCGUUAAUCGGAAUUACUGGGCGUAAAGCGUGCGCAGGCGGUUAUAUAAGACAGAUGUGAAAUCCCCGGGCUCAACCUGGGACUUGCAUUUGUGACUGUAAAGCUAGAGUAUGGUAGAGGGGGAUGGAAUUCCGAGUGUAGCAGUGAAAUGCGUAGAGAUGCGGAGGAACACCGAUGGCGAAGGCAAUCCCCUGGACCAGUACUGACGCUCAGGCACGAAAGCGUGGGGAGCAAACAGG
rnacentral:rRNA from 1 species